CAGAAGCGCUUGAGCCGACCGGGCGUUGUCGUCUCGACAAGCGCCAAGAAAACAAUAGCAAUGACGGAGAGGGAACACCGCUUCGGCAAAUGCAAGUCGUCACAACUGCUGCCAAAAACAUUUUGCAAGAAAACCGCCGAUAUAAGGACCAUGGAUUACUGCAGAUCAACUGCGCGUUUGAGGCCCUCGGAGACACUUUGUACUGAACGGGUUGAUUGCAUGAGUCCUGGUGAUUCUUCGUAGGCAUUUUAAUCUCUAGAUUUCUCGAUAUCAUUCCCUUUGCUAUGGAAAUUUAUUUCGAACUUGGUUUUUAGAUACUCAUGUCACUUUCCGCACUUUUCGUGUUUUUAAUAAUCAGCCAUCUUCGAAAUAAAACUGCUUUUUUGUCUUU
rnacentral:lncRNA from 1 species